CUGGAAGUUAGAAAACAAUGGAACAAUGUCUUCAAAAAUCUUCAUUGUAUCCUCAACUCCAUGUCUAGCUAAAUGGUAGUAUUAGAAUAAAACAAGGAUAUUUUCAGAUAUGCAAAGACUAAAAACUAUUAUCUUCCUUAAGCUUUUUUCCAAGAUGUAUUUCUGAAGAAGUGCCACAAUGUGAGGGCGUAAACAAAGAAGGGAGGCAGGAGAUGUACGAGUUAGGUCAUUCAACAUAGGAGAGAGCCAAAAGAUGAUGAUGUUGAGGAAUUCCAGGAGAUGUUGCCAUAAAAAAAAGUACAUGGAACAUAUAGAUGACUUGAGUAUUUGAUCAUUCUGAGAAAUGGUCAGUCUAGAUAUAUGGAUUUAAUUGACCAAAGAAAUAGCUAAAAUAAUUGGAAAUUGCAGAGGUGACCAAGAUGGUGACAUAGGCUUCUGAGCUCCCCUCCUCCUACAGACACAUUGAAUGUAUAACUGCACACAAAGCAAUUCCUAAUGAAUGAUCCAGAAACUAGCUGAACAGCUCCUACACAUUGGGCAAAUGACAGAACACCCACCCACAUCAAAAUGCCUAGCAAAGGCUGAGACACUUGACAGAACCCCCUGCCACAGGGCCACACAAUCAGGAGCAGACCCCAAACGACCAGCUUUUCCCUGAGGUGCAAAGGGUUUGGACCUCAAAUCUAGCAUCUGGAUUUUGCCAACAUUUGUGAUACUUUUCCCAACUUCUAAGACUCUCUAAAUACCCAUUUCUGAAAGCCAAUGGGGAUUGUGUCUAUGAGACCUUUAAGAAUAUAGCAAAACAAAACCCAGUUAUUCACAAAUGCAUUGAGCACUCACCUCCCACCCCCAUCCAGUGAUUAGAGCAGAGGAAACAGGCCAAACCUCCCACAUAUUCUACUUGAGGAUGAGGUUUCUAACUUCAGCACACAUCUAGUGGCUGGCUGCAAUCCUCCCCAGAGACGGAAACAGCAAACACCUUUCCUGCCCUCUCUCUUCAGCCCACUCCAACAACAAAACCAAGUUACUAGUGUCUCCCUGGAAGGAAUUUUUACAAAUGGGUGGCACUCCAGCUUUUGUGGCUGCCGCCCAAGGGAUGGGCCCCCAGAUUACCUGGCACUUAGAGCCAAUGGGGCUUGUAUUCCUCAGCCCCCCAAUACUGUAUCAAAUGAAGCAGUUCUUAACAGGUGCAGGAGUAUUCCCUCCUCCCCACAGCUAUAUCUGGGCCCAGCAGAGAGGAAGCAGGCAAAAACACCCAUCUCCCAGUGUUUCCCUAGAAGGGGCUUAACUACAUAAUUGCCCAGCUGCUACCUGAGGGUCCAGUUUAUAAUCAGCCUGCAUCUACGUGCUGACUGCCAUUCUCAUUUUUGGGACACUGACAGGUUUUGGCACACCCUCAACUCCUGAAACCACUGACAGGUUUUGGCACACCCUCAACUCCUGAAGCCACUAGAAACAAGGAAGGUGGCUUGGACACUCUCAGAGGCUUGAGAGACAACUAGAAACUUGGCUGGAUUGAUCAAAGUGAUUCACUUUUAUAAUAAGAAUAGUCUAUCAAGACUAGGAGAGGUGGCUGUUUUAUCUCAUGUUUAGAGAUCACCAAAGAGAAUCAAAGAAAAUGAAGAAACAGGAAUAUGGUCCAAAAUCAAAACAAAACAAAACAAAAAAACAAAACCACAAGAAAAAUUUCCAGAAACAGAUCUUAAUGAAAUGAACAUAAGUUAUUUACCAGAUAGAAUGUUCAAAAUAACAAUUGUAAAGAUGUUUGCUAAGACCAGGAGAACAAUGCAUGAACAAAGUGAGAAUGUCAACAAAGAAAAUAGUAAAAAGUACAAAAUAGAAAACAUAUAGCUGAAGAAUACAAUAACUGAACUGAAAAAAAAAAUCAUUAGAGUUUAACAGCCAACUAAAUCAAGUAGAAGAAAGGAUCAGCAAACUUCACGGGGCACUGGAAUUUAUCCAAUCAAAGGAGUAAAAAGGAAAAAAA